UGUCACGACUGACCCGAGAACGCAUCAACAGAGUCAAGAUGCCGCCAGAGAAUUACUCAUCCAUAGAAAAAGAUAAGUUGCUGAACAGAAAAAUCUCAAGAGUUCACAACUGAAAUAUAAUAAUUAAAUUGUCACUUUUCACUUGAUGCUAGAAAAACAACGUGUCAUAUCUCAGGUGUUGGGGCGGCAUAUGCUGGUUGUCAUGAAUCUGAUGCUCAAAUUAGAGUUUCAUGGUUUUAUUCUGUCAUCAUACGUGUCAUAACACAGUGCUUUCGCAUUAAGAGCUGCAUGACUCCUGCAGACCAACCAACAUGGUCUGAUACUAUUUCAUAUUGAAGAGUUAUUGAGUAAUUUGUAAUUAGUGGAGAUGUGCAUCUCCAUGUGAUGCACAUCUUGAAGCAUCGCCAAUGCAAUACACUGAAGACGCAUUAAGCAACUUCUAAUGCAAUGUAAUACAGUAUGAUUCACACCUACUGUGAUGCAAUUUGAUGUGAUUCAAUGCGAUAGGAUGUGACGCUAAAGAAUAUGAGGCUGGACAAUUCAAUAUGGUGCAGAUGGUUUAGAUUUGAUUUAAUUUGCUAUUUUUAAGCAAACAACCAAUCAUGAAUUAACUAAAAUUGGGCCAUUUUUACUUUCAUUAUUUUGUUCUCCUGUACUGAAACUCAGGAAGCAUCUUUUAACUAUCUUUCUUUUUAACUUCUGAAAAAGCAUGAGGCCCUUUCACAACCAGAUAUUUUAUUUUGAGGAGGAAAAAAAAAGUACCAACAAAAAGUAAAGUAAAACCAGGCCUGGACCUUGCUUUUGGUGCCAUUUAUUGUUUUAUACCACAAAAUAUUUUGCACACUGCAUGCGUUUUGUCAAAUUAUCUUUCUCCAUUGAAAAACCUGAACCUGUCGCCAAACAUUUGAUUCGUAGCAAAGCACGGGACUUGUUGUUCUUCCUCCUCCAUGAUAAUCUGUGACUCGCCAAGCGUGCCUCCAACGUCGACUUGGCCGAGAGACUUGAGGACAGUUGGCCUCUGGCAGCGAUGGAGAUGAGAGAGCACACCUGAGAAACAGUUUAGAGAGGAGGAAUCAAUCUAAAUUGAAAAUUAUUUGUAACAUUUCGUAAACGAUGCAUCAUCCCAAAAUGUAUGACCAAUGGCAUUAUACCACUGCGCUGUUGCAAAUCGGUGAAUCUUACCCUCCCUGGUAGUUAGUGUACUUUAGUCAAAAGGUUUUCUGCCUUUGGUUCCAUCAUUUAAUGCAAAGUUCUUGUGUGUGUAUAUAUAUUUUAUUUAGCUCACUGAUCAUUGCUGUGGACAAUGUGUUGUCUGCCAAACUAAUGUAAUGUAGACAUUCUACUGUAGAUCUAAAAUUUCUGGCAUUAUCUCACUACAGACUGAUUUAUGCUCUUUCCCACAAACAAGAAUGGAGAAAUCAGAUAAAGCAACAUUUCUCCAGCGAGUGACCUCUCCAUCCAGAGAAAUCUGGCCUUUUUUUUUUGUCACUUGGAAAGUAUUACAGAACAUAAAUAUGUCACAUAAUUUGGAGAAAUGAACUUCAAAUAAGUCCCCCUUGGCCGCCUAAAGUUUGAACAUUGCAGUUACAUUCCUGUUUGGUACAUGCUCUUCUGCAGCAAGUUGAAACCACAAAACUCGAUGGCUCUAUCAAAGACAAACAAAACAAAUCUCUAUCAAGCUCCAUUUCCAUAAUGCCGUUUCUUUUUGAAUAUCCCUCUGUGCGGGUUUUCCACAGUGCAAGUCUGAACAAAUUCAAACCCUGCUAUUCUACAGUGCUAAGGUUCUCAGCUCUGUUUGAUUAGGGGAAACACACAGGAGGUCCACUGCCACGGUGUUUUCUUUACCUGGGCCCAUAACUCUUAAAAACACACAAACACUUGGGUUGUAAAUGACCUGUUCAUCACACAGUGACAGGAGAGGUGAUUCUGGACUCUUGGUGGGCCAGGUGUGCAGAUCAGGACAGCUGUGUCGUGCCAAGACCCGUUGGCAUGGCGACGCAGGACCAUGGAAAGUUCUGGACUCUGUCGCUGCUGGCAGGGCUGAGCUUCUGAGCGGGACCGGUGUUGGCUUUGCCUCCAGCUGUUUCUUUACAGACAUGCUGAACGCCAGCAACAGCCAGGGGCCAAGAUCAGCCCAAUGGAAAAUGGUUGGUCAGUGGGGUCUGGGAGGUGAAGUCCAACACUGUUCCCACCAGGAGUUCCCAGCAGGCUUCUGGGAUCACACAUCAAGGUCUGUCGCUGGCCCCCGACCCCUACCCAGGCCCCUGUGACGGGGUGGGGCCAAGAUUGAGUGGGCCAGAGGAGGCAACACACCAUAGCUGUGUGCAACUGCACAGAAGGCGAAUCCAAGACAGGACAUGCGUAUUACAUGUUUUCAUUUGCCCUUAUAUAUGCCUCAACAGUGAAACAAUCCCUCUUUUCAUGCCCAUGGUUUCAUUCGGUGGGUGGUGAGAGCACGACUAUGAUUGGGGAUGAGGGAACUGGGUGAUUUUUUCCAAGGUGAGCACCUCAUGGGAGAUGACUGUUCGCUGCCAUUAGUUUAAGUGCAGGAGUGUCAGUUAACCCGACACUGGCACCAGGAAUACUUAAUGCCAGAUGGAGGGAGCUGUCCUUGAUGUCUUAACAAGCAGGCAUAGAGAAACAAGCCUUUAUUCAGUGUGAGAGAACAUAGAAAAAAUUGAUAACUUAGCAAGGUUACCACAAAGUGUACGUUAAAUCCCACAUAGGAAAGGGAGGGAUAAAGGAGAUUGAAGGGGGUGGGGAGGGGCAAAAGUCCAAACU